rnacentral:tRNA from 1 species
GCGCCAGUAGCUCACCGGGAUAGAGCAACGGCCUUCUAAGCCGUAGGUAGGGGGUUCGAGUCCCUCCUGGCGCG